rnacentral:rRNA from 1 species
GAACGCUAGCUACAGGCUUAACACAUGCAAGUCGAGGGGCAGCAUGACGGAAGCUUGCUUCGUUGAUGGCGACCGGCGCACGGGUNAGUAACGCGUAUCCAACCUGCCUUGUCCAUCGGAUAACCCGUCGAAAGCGGACUAACACGAUAUGCAGUUCUCAGCAGGCAUCUAACGAGAACGAAAUGUGAAGGAGAAGGAUGGGGAUGCGUCUGAUUAGCUUGUUGGCGGGGUAACGGCCCACCAAGGCGACGAUCAGUAGGGGUUCUGAGAGGAAGGUCCCCCACAUUGGAACUGAGACACGGUCCAAACUCCUACGGGAGGCAGCAGUGAGGAAUAUUGGUCAAUGGACGAGAGUCUGAACCAGCCAAGUAGCGUGCAGGAUGACGGCCCUAUGGGUUGUAAACUGCUUUUAUAAGGGAAUAAAGUGAGCCUCGUGUGGCGUUUUGCAGGUACCGCAUGAAUAAGGACCGGCUAAUUCCGUG